AGUGAACGCUGGCGGCAGGCCUAACACAUGCAAGUCGAGCGGCAGCGCGGGGGCAACCCUGGCGGCGAGCGGCGGACGGGUGAGGAAUGCGUCGGAAUCUGCCUCUUUGUGGGGGAUAACGUAGGGAAACUUACGCUAAUACCGCAUACGACCUACGGGUGAAAGUGGGGGACCUUCGGGCCUCACGCAGAGAGAUGAGCCGACGCCGGAUUAGCUAGUUGGCGGGGUAAAGGCCCACCAAGGCGACGAUCCGUAGCUGGUCUGAGAGGAUGAUCAGCCACACUGGAACUGAGACACGGUCCAGACUCCUACGGGAGGCAGCAGUGGGGAAUAUUGGACAAUGGGCGCAAGCCUGAUCCAGCCAUGCCGCGUGUGUGAAGAAGGCCUUCGGGUUGUAAAGCACUUUUGUCCGGAAAGAAAAGCAUUCGGUUAAUAACCGGGUGUCAUGACGGUACCGGAAGAAUAAGCACCGGCUAACUUCGUGCCAGCCGCCGCAGUAAUAC
rnacentral:rRNA from 1 species